rnacentral:tRNA from 1 species
GUGGGUGUAGCUCAAUUGGCGGAGCACUGGAUUGUGGUUCCAGUGGUUGUGGGUUCGAGUCCCAUCACCCACCCCA